rnacentral:rRNA from 1 species
CAGCCGCCGCGGGAAUACGUAGGUGGCAAGCGUUGUCCGGAAUUAUUGGGCGUAAAGCGCGCGCAGGUGGUUUAAUAAGUCUGAUGUGAAAGCCCACGGCUCAACCGUGGAGGGUCAUUGGAAACUGUUAAACUUGAGUGCAGGAGAGAAAAGUGGAAUUCCUAGUGUAGCGGCGAAAUGCGUAGAGAUUAGGAGGGACACCAGUGGCGAAGGCGGCUUUUUGGCCUGUAACUGACACUGAGGCGCGAAAGCGUGGGGAGCAAACAGGAUUAGAUACCCCAGUAGUCCCUGUCUCUUAUAC